GACGAACGCUGGCGGCGCGCCUAACACAUGCAAGUCGAACGAGCGAGAGAGAGCUUGCUUUCUUGAGCGAGUGGCGAACGGGUGAGUAACGCGUGAGGAACCUGCCUCAAAGAGGGGGACAACAGUUGGAAACGACUGCUAAUACCGCAUAAGCCCACGGUGCCGCAUGGCACAGAGGGAAAAGGAGCAAUCCGCUUUGAGAUGGCCUCGCGUCCGAUUAGCUAGUUGGUGAGGUAACGGCCCACCAAGGCGACGAUCGGUAGCCGGACUGAGAGGUUGAACAGCCACAUUGGGACUGAGACACGGCCCAGACUCCUACGGGAGGCAGCAGUGGGGAAUAUUGCACAAUGGGGGAAACCCUGAUGCAGCGACGCCGCGUGGAGGAAGAAGGUCUUCGGAUUGUAAACUCCUGUUGUUGGGGAAGAUAAUGACGGUACCCAACAAGGAAGUGACGGCUAACUACGUG
rnacentral:rRNA from 1 species